UUACAAUCGCCACUUCACACAAUUACAUGAAUAAAACAUUACAUCAUCCAGAUACAAUCAAGGUCCGACUACGGAACCAAAAUAAAAGAAGAACCCCAAAUGCGACAAAGGUCCCCGAUCGACCCCAACUGGGCUCCACUACUGAUCAACUGAAACAAAACAACACAAUGAACAAGAUCUUCAUCGAGCUCCUCCUUGAGCUCGGAUGCGUCACCUGCACGGUUUCAUCGGCACCUGCAAACUGGUUUUGGAAGUAUCUGUGAGUCACGAGGACUCAGCAAUCUCACACCCGCGAGAUCAAGACUAUUUAAGCUUAUAGGAAGGAUGUAGUAAUGAGGUGGAGCUGCAGCAAGCGACUAACAUACAUGGUGGCUACAAUCGCAAAAGAGAGCGAGAAGAGAAGGCAAAGCACGGUCGAUAAAAGUAUGAUCAAGAAGUGAUCCUAUAGUAACCUACGUCAAGCAUAACUCCAACACCGUGUUCACUUCCCGGACUCCGCCGAGAAGAGACCAUCACGGUUAUACACACGGUUGAUGUAUUUUAAUUAAGGUCAACUUCGGGUUUUCUACAACCGGACAUUAACAAAUUCCCAUCUGCCACAUAACCGCGGGCACGGCACUCGAAAGUUUAUACCCUGCAGGGGUGUCCCAACUUAGCCCAUGACAGGCUCUCGCGAUCAACGAAGGAAUAGACCUUCACCCGAGACACUCCGAUCAGACUCGGUAUCCCGGUACAUCAAGACAUUUCGACAAUGGUAAAACAAGACCAACAAAGCCGCCCGGAUGUGCCGACAAAUCCCGAUAGGAGCUGCACAUAUCUCGUUCUCAGGGCACACCGGAUGAGCCAGAUGUCGGGUUGGCAUAGACCCUGGUUGCCCAGGGGGCGCCGGACAUCGCUCAGUUUGGACCAGCACCCGAAGGAGCACUAGCCCGGGGGGGGGGGUAAAAUAAAGAUGACCCUUGAGUCUGCAGAACCCAAGGGAAAAAGGCUUAGGUAGGAAAAUGGUAAAACCACGGUUGGGCCUUGCUGGAGGAGUUUUAUUCAAAGCGAACUGUCAAGGGGGUCCCAUAAAUCACCCGACCGCGUAAGGAACACAAAAUCUGGGAACAUAACACCGGUAUGACGGAAACUAGGGCGGCAAGAGUGGAAGAAAACACCAGGCAUAAGGCCGAGCCUUCCACCCUUUACCAAGUAUAUAGAUGCAUUAAUUAAAUAAGAUAUAUUGUGAUAUCCCAACAAGUAAUCAUGUUCCAACAAGGAACAACAUCUCCAUGUUCCAACAAGGAACACACUUCAAUCUUCACCUACAACUAACAACGCUAUAAGAGGGGCUGAGCAAAGCGGUAACAUAGCCAAUCAACGGUUUGCUAGGACAUGGUGGGUUAGAGGUUUGACAUGGCAAUUUGGGAGGCUGACAAGCAAAAGGUAGGCAUCGUAGCAUUGGCAUGGCAAAAGAGCGAGCAAACUAGCAUAGCAAAGAUAGUAGUGAUUUCGAGGGUAUGAUCAUCUUGCCUGAGAUCCCGCAAGGAAGAAGAACGAGUCCAAGAAGAAGACAAACGGUCGUAGACGAACGAAUUCUCACAACUCCGGAACGAAACCGAAGCUAACGAGAGAAGCAACCCGGAAAGAAACAAACAACAUAGUAAACCAACAAGCACAAACAUGGCAUGAUGCACAACCAAGUAUGAUGCAUGUCCAGUUUAAAUAGCAUGGCAUGGCAGUAUGCACAAACAAUACUACAAGUUAAGUGGAGCUCAAUAUGCAACGAGUUGCAUAUUGACGGAACACCACAUCGAAUUAUUUUAGUUUACUCUCGGUUAAGAUACUCAACAAUUAUUAAAUGUUGGUUAACAUGGCAAGUGGUGAAGCAUAACAAAAACUAUACCAUCUAAACAAUUUAAAUGGGGCCGGAUAUAAAAACAACAAAUCCGGUAAAUCCCCAUAUGCAUUUAGCAAUUUAAAGCAACAACAAUUUUAAACAUUUUAAUUGUUGUUAUCAUGAUGCGGAUGACAUAUGCAAGUUUUAUGCAAUAUUUAUGAAAAUGUUGACAUAAGCAUGUGAAGAAGCAUUUUUCACCGUGGCGGAACGAAACGGGUGCCAUGGCAACGAAUCCGAAAAUUAUGCCACGGCAACAUAUCGGUUCCGGUAGCUCACGGAGAUACCGGUGCAAAAGGAAGUGAGCGUGAGCGAGUCAUGCAAGAUGGUGGGGUGCUCCCGGUUACCGGGUUCCCACGGGUCGACGGCAUGGCAAACAAGGAGGAACGUGCACGAAACAAACGGGCACGGUGCAAACAUACGGUUCAUAUCAUACAACAUGCAUUCGGUCCACGGUUGAUCGUCUCGGGAUUAUACCUUUGAAGUGUGCAUUUCGAAGCGGUUCGGGUUCGGAGCGGUGUAGAGGAAGUAGGCGUUCACGGGACGUCGUGGAAGUAGUUGUACACAGCAUCGGUAGAGGAAGUAGUCGUACACGGCAGCGGCGGAUCGUCGUGUAGCCGUACAUGUUCGAAGCAGAACUUGGCGUAUCCAUGUAGUAGGCGUUCCGGUCCUGUAGUCGUUCGAGCAUCCGUGUGGUCUUACCGGUGGGGUACUUGGCGCUUGCGGUCCAACUCCGAGGUCAUAGCCGUGUAGUCGAACUUGACGAAAACAGGUCUCGCUGGGGACUUGGCGCAUCCAUCAUGAACUUGGUGGUACUUGGCAAAUUCCACGCUCGGUGACUGUUGGACUUGGCGUCAACAGCAACAGGGGCGCGAUGCUGGGACUUGGCGCGAUGCAGGAGGCUGGCGCAGCGACGGGGAGGUAGAGGUCAUCGGAAACAGCGGCUGGGUGCAGCAGCAGCUGCUGCUGCCGGCGGCGAGGUCGAGGCAGGUUGGUGACGAUGAGGAGAAGCAGGAGGAGAGGCGGCGCGGGACUGAUCCUGGCGUUGGAGGAGGACGGGCGGUGGCUCCUGCUGGCGCGAAGGCGGAGAGGAGGCUCCAGCUUGGCGUGGCCUCGUCGGCCGGCGGGUUGGAGCUCCGGCGGUGGCACUCGCCCGCGCGGUGCCGGAGAUGGCAAGGGCGACGAAGAGCUGAAGGACGGCGAGGACGAGGGAGCUCCUGGUUCCCGGCGGCAGAGGAGCUCCAGCAGGGCCGAGGCGGCGGCAGGGGAGGGCCCCAGCAGCGCAGCCUGAUCCGGCGGCGGCGGCGGGCUCCGGUGGCCGGCUGGUGGUGCGAAGGCGGCAAGGUCUACGGGGAGGCGCGGGGCCGUGUGGUUGUGGAGGGGAUCGGGCGAGAGAUGGUGUGGCGAUGAGGAGGAGAUGGGAUCGAGAGAGAGGUCGGGCAGCGGUUCCCUGGCGGCGCUGGGUGGAAGGGAACGAGAGGGAGAGGGGGUGGAUCGGGCAAGGGAGCGCCUAGGGUUAGAGCUGGUGGCGUGGCUGGGCCUUGGGCCGAAAUAGUUGGGCUACUGGGAGGCUGAUGGGCUCUCUUCGCCCUCUCUCUUAUACUCUAAAACAGAAAAUAACAAAGAAGAAAAUGGAGAAGAAAGGAGGUGUUGGGGAAGAAGUUGGAUGCGUAGAUAAUUUCCCGGACCCACAAAAAUAUGCUCGUUCCAAGAAAAAUGGAGUGGCAAGAUUGCAGGAAUAAAAUUCAAAGUCAUUUGAAUUUAAUUCAAAUGGUUUGAACAAGGACUAGGAUUUAGAAGUGUCCAAAAAUGUUGAGAAUUUUUGGUGGAGCUCCGGAAGAUGAUGAAAGAAUAAAUGGCAAAGUUGGAGAUCAAGAAUUAAGACAACAAAGGCAUUAGGAUAUUUUGUAAGUGUGUUUGCGGUAAAUCCAAAUAAUUGGAAUAUUUACUAUAGCUCUCUAAAUAUCGAGAGGAUAUGUUUUAAAGAGAAUCACCAUGUGAAUUCCCUCGAUUUAAAUGGAUCAAAGAUCCAUGCCAUUUAUUUAGUUGAGUUGCAAAAGAUUUAUGAGAUGAUGGCAUGAUGACAUGAUGCAAUGCAAAAAUAAAAAGGGCAGACACAAAUGAAACACACGGCGAAACCCGGAAUAUAUGGAAGUCUUCUCGAGCAUCGGUCUCGGGGCGUUACAACACUACACCACUACGAGAGGAUCUCGUCCCGAGAUCUAGAAUGACACCGGAGGGAAAACGGAAGAGAAAAAGAAAGGUAAAACUAAGUUGCUUCUUUUGACAAAUGAGUGAAACCACAGACCUUGAAAAAUUGAACAAAUUGAAAGAAAGAAUGCAACGGAGAUGAACGAAGUUGAAAACACCCCGUUAGAAAAGAGGAACAAGGAAGAACAAUUUCUUAUAGCACUCCGGUUGAAAACAGAUACAAGACUUGAUAGGAAGAAAAGAGCUUGAGCAGAGGACACGACACUCCGGUUAAAUGGACAAUCAUGAAAAGAACAUGAUCUUAAACAAACGAGAUGAUGGGUAGAGAAGAGCAACAUUACAAUACCUCCGAAACAAAAGAAUAGAAGAUAGAUAAUUGAAAUAGAAGAAUGGAGAAGAAAAUGCCCUCUUAUGCCACAACAGAGCUUGAGGAGGCAUCCUUAGGAGACGGGUCGAGCGGAAUUGUUGGAAAACCAACAACGAAGGAAUAAGCUUGAUACGGUCUUGUGGAAUACAUGUCAAGUUAUGAGGUGACAAACUGCCACUACGGAAACAAUUGCUUGCUUGAGAUUAACGAAGAGAUGAAAGCUUGUUCCAUCAAGAUGGAAAAGAGAUAACUUGGGUCAUUAAUAAGCACCAAAAUAGCAACAUUCCUUAGGGAAGGCUUUAGGUGAAAUCUAUACCAAGAUAACUCCAAUGAAGAGAUUGACGGUUGAAAAGUUCUCUUGAACAAAGAGAAAAAGAUGGAUUUAAAUAUGUCACUCUUGAAAACUUGUGAAUCAUGAAACGCGAAGGGAAAUUAUCACGAAUGACCUAACACCACCUCAGAAGAUAAGGUAGAAAGAAUUGCACUUUGGAAUGCAAGAUGAAGAAUGCUUGAACUCCUCAAAACAAGACAUGUGUUGAACACCAUGUUUAAUUUUUUAGUAUAGCUUGGCUGAUCUUAACUUCAAGAGAAAUCUUGAAGAACAAUUGAAGAAUGAAAAGAAUCCUUGAUGAACCACCACUCCGGUAAUAAACGGAUGAUAAAAAGAAAGAGAAGUUGAAAACACAAGGUGAAGCCUUGCGAUGAUUUGGAUGGAGCUUCGCGACGAGAUAAUGCGGAAAACUUAGAACUCCGGAAGAAAGAUGAACAACAAGAAGCCAAGAAUUUAUUACUCCUGAACAAACUCCGAAGGAAAGGAUUAAUCACUUGGAUGAAACCAGAAUAAGAAUUAUGUUAUGCGUAUCCUUCACCGAUUUAGAUUGAUGACAAGCAACGGAUUUGGCAUACAACUUAUUCUCGUAGAAAGGAUUAAAAGAGAUAUAUCGAAACUUGAGAAGGUCUUCAACAAACCACCGGUAGGAUUGGAACAACAAAUGAAUUGAUAUGAUGAACAAGGAAGAGAGAUCUUGAAAGAACCACCGUAAGAAUUGAAAUUGAACGUAGCAAAUGCACAAAUCACCGGGAAGAAUUGCAAAAUGAAUGAAGAUACUUUAGGGUAUUUAGAUACAAAUGAACGAAUAGAUCACGAGCUGAUUAGAGAAUACUUGAAUGAUGCACCGGUAUGAUUUGGAGAACGAGAGCUGAAAGCUUGAAUGAAUAAUACUGAGAAGAUGGGCUUCAAAGAAUGAAACUGAAAAGACUCCUAAAAUGCUCCGGAUGGGUGAAAAAGAUUCUCACAAUCGAAAACAAUUAUGAGAGGAUGGCAACAAGCUAGCACCAUGAAUCUUGAAGAGAAUAGAGCAAGAUUAAAGAGAAACUCUUCUUCGGUCUUCAAAUGAUGAGAAUGACAACGAGAAACACCACCAAGAAUUAUUGAGGCACACCGGAAGAAUCAAAAGCGAAGAGGUUGAGCCAACUAUGAAAAGAAUUUGAAAGAUCUUGGAGAAAAGCAUUUGACUGAUGAUAACUCAUUCUUACGUCAAACUUGGAGAAGAAUUUAGGAUAGCUCUGGGAAAAUAGAAGAGUCAGGUAAGAUCCUGGGAAAUGACCUAUGGGUUAGGGCCCACUCAAAAGAAAACACCGUUGAAAAGAUUUAAAAGAGAUGUUGCACCGGUUGAAUUAAAUGACUUGAAUGAGAUACCAAUCUUGAAAGAGCUUGAAUGAAUGUAGAGUGGAAACACGAAUCUUCGAGAUAUCUUGAGCACUCCGGAAUAACAAAUAGCGAGAAGUAGAAUGAUAAUGAGGUGCACCGGUAUGAGAAGACAUUGAAAUGAGGAAAAAAUAUGAUCAACAAAACUUGACUUGAAUUCACCGGGGAAGAGAAAGGAAUGAGGAAUGACGAACUAGUAGAACAUCUUCUUGAGAACCACCGGGUAAGAACAUUGACGGAAAAGAAUGGAGAAACUUCACAAAAAUAAAAGGAUACUUGGUAAAGAAAUCUUAGUCCUUGAGGAAAAAGGGUGGGUGGUCGGGAAAAAAAACAAAGGCAACUUGGAGACGGAUGGAACAAACACCGUUGAGAAGAAAUGAUAAUUGGUCUUGCUGAUGUUGAAGUGAUCGGAUCCACUUGAAGAGAAAACACGCCGGUUGAAAAGGAUUGACAUGACAAUCUCGAUUGUCGAGAAGGAUUGGUAUUCACAUCGGAGUAUGAGAACACCAUUUCGGAAAGGUAUGGAAUCAACACUUGACAUUGAAGCAACUCUAAUACCACAACUCAAAACAAAAACAAAGGACUGGCCUGCAGAAUAAGCCGGAACAAACAUAUGAUAGAGAUUUCGUCCGAAGUUUUCGUGGUGGGGCCUACACGGGCUCGAUCGUACAGCACCAUCAUGUACAAGGCAGUGCACAUGACAUACGAAGCGUCCCCGAGUCGGCAUAGCCAAGGACUCUUUAAGACACAACGAGACCACUGUAAAACUAACCGUGAAUAGGCGGACCACUAGACGUCGAACCCCAAUUUCAUAUCAUACAUCCGUCGGAAAGAUAUCCUAAGAGCUACUUGAAUUCCCACCUAUGAAACUCCCGAAAUUUUUCGGUUAUGCAAUCAAGUGUUGGGGAUACAGGGGAAGCAUAAUAUCUCACCCAAAACUAGCAAAUCCUACAUCCAGUUGUAUCCAUCCUUCAACACAUAACCAAGAAACCUUCGGAAAUCGUCUACCUCAACCUUCGAAAAGCAUCCGUUAUACGAGUCAUGGCAAUACUCCCGUACUCACCUCAGUACUGGGUUAUCGGGGUUAUCUCACCAACAACUGCAUAAAAGAGAUUUUCGAUGUCGGCGUACUAAACUCAGGUAUUCCAGAACUGCAACGAUAAAAUUAUGACGACAACACCUUAGAGCUCAACUCCCCGGGACACUUCCACUAAACCCCUGACAGGAGGCACCAAGACAAUGUUGUCAUCAUAAAACCAUCGGAACGAUUCCAAGAUACCCGCGUGAUCCUAAAUUUUUUUUAGUGAAAUUUGAGAAGAGAAGAGUCAAAACUCUACGUCAGGAUGCCUUACCAGAGCGAUGAAGAGACUGGGGAGUAAAAAGAAUUCCUAACUCUCCGAUAUAUAUAAUCCUAAAUGACUCAAAACAUUUUUCUAGACACAACUCGGCCGCUAAAAACGAUCAAGUAGUGGGGCUCCUAAGGUUGGGGAAGGCUCUGAUUACCAACUUGUAACGCCCUCGAUGCGGCUAUAUCUCCCACGUGUCGAAGCACGACUUAGAGGCAUAACCGCAUUGAAAGCAAUGUCGCAAGUGAGGUAAUCUUCACACAACCCAUGUAAUACAUAAGGGAAAGAGAUACAUAGUUGGCUUACAAUCGCCACUUCACACAAUUACAUGAAUAAAACAUUACAUCAUCCAGAUACAAUCAAGGUCCGACUACGGAACCAAAAUAAAAGAAGAACCCCAAAUGCGACAAAGGUCCCCGAUCGACCCCAACUGGGCUCCACUACUGAUCAACUGAAACGAAACAACACAAUGAACAAGAUCUUCAUCGAGCUCCUCCUUGAGCUCGGAUGCGUCACCUGCACGGUUUCAUCGGCACCUGCAAACUGGUUUCGGAAGUAUCUGUG
rnacentral:lncRNA from 1 species